GUUUGGAUAAAACUUUGUGGACGUCCCCGGCUGAACCUGAGAAGGAUUACUAAGGAUACGUAUGUCUGCUCUAAGCACUUCGUCGAUGGGGAACCAAGCCUUCAACAUCCAAAUCCAGUCCCUGCCAUUCCUAAUCAAAUAGGACUACCUCCCACUAAAAGAGUGGUCGCUGCAGUAUCAGUGCUGGAGGAUAGUAUGCUGCAGUCCAUGGACAUAGAUGCAG